AUACCUUUCUCGGCCUUUUGGCUAAGAUCAAGUGUAGUAUUUGUUCUUAUCAUUUUAAUAUCUGAUAUGUGGGCCAAUGGUUCACACGAUAUAAAAUUUAUUUCUUGAGGGGGAGAGUUCAUUACAAUAGCUUGUUAUUCACUACGCAAAAAAAAACUAUUUUACAACCCUUUUUUAAGCCAU
rnacentral:snRNA from 1 species